UCAAGCUAUAAAGAGCGCAAGGGGAAUGCCUUGGCAUCAGGAGCCGAAGAAGGACGUGACAAGCUGCGAUAAGCCACGGGGAGGAGCAAAUAUCCGAUAUAUCCGUGGAUUUCCGAAUGGGGGAACCCGCUUGAGCAAUACUCAAGCAUCGUGCAUUGAAUCAAAUAGGUGUACGAGGGGAACGGUCUGAACUGAAACAUCUAAGUAGGACCAGGAAAAGACAUCAACCGAGAUUCCGCAAGUAGUGGCGAGCGAACGCGGAGGAGGCCAAACCGGAGGAUUUAUUCUCCGGGGUUGCGGACAGACAUCAUGAUCAGAGGAAGCUAGGAGAACGGCAUGGGAAGGCCGGCUAGAAAGGGUGAGAGCCCCGUAUCCGAAAGCAGGAGCUGACAGUCUGGAUCCAGAGUACCGCGGGACACGUGAAACCCCGUGGGAAACCGGGUGGACCACCAUCCAAGCCUAAAUACUACCUGAUGACCGAUAGAGGAGCAGUACCGUGAGGGAAAGGUGAAAAGGACCCCGGGAGGGGAGUGAAAGAGAACCUGAAACCUUGUGCUUACAAGCUGUCAAAGCACGUUAACGUGUGAUGGCGUACUUUUUGUAGAACGGUCCGGCGAGUUAUAGUAACGAGCGAGCUUAAGGCAUUCAGUGCCGGAGGCGAAGCGAGAGCGAGUCUGAAUAGGGCGUAAAGUUCGUUGCCAUAGACCCGAAACCGGGUGACCUACCCAUGAGCAGGUUGAAGUGGGGGUGAAACCCCAUGGAGGACCGAACCGACCCCCGUUGCAAUGGUGGCGGAUGACUUGUGGGUAGCGGUGAAAUUCCAAUCGAACUCGGAGAUAGCUGGUUCUCCCCGAAAUAGCUUUAGGGCUAGCGUUAUGUUAGAUUACCGGAGGUAAAGCACUGAAUGGGCUAGGGGCCGAUAAGGUUACUGAACCCUAUCAAACUCUGAAUGCCGGAUAAAUGAUGGAUAGCAGUCAGACAGUGUGAGAUAAGUUUCAUUGUCAAAAGGGAAACAGCCCAGACCUACAGCUAAGGUCCCAAAUGUGCGCUAAGUGGAAAACGAUGUGGAGUUGCGAAAACAACCAGGAUGUUGGCUUAGAAGCAGCCACUCAUUAAAAGAGUGCGUAAUAGCUCACUGGUCGAGUGACUCUGCGCGGAAAAUAUAACGGGGCUAAGCACACAACCGAAGCUUGGGAUUGUCAAAAGACAGUGGUAGGGGAGCGUCGAAUACGGGGUGAAGUCGUAUCGGAAGGAACGGUGGACUGUAUUCGAGUGAGAAUGCCGGAAUGAGUAGCGAGAAUUAUGUGGGAAUCAUAAUGGCCGAAAAUCUAAGGUUUCUUGGGGAAGGUUCGUCCGCCCAAGGUAAGCCGGGAGCUAAGGCGAGGCCGAAAGGCGUAGUCGAUGCACAUACGGUUGAAAUUCCGUAGCCACCGAAACUUAAACCAGAAGGACACUUGGAGCUAUCCGAACCCGGGCGUUGGUUGACCCGGGCGUAAGGGACCGAAAUUAAGUAGGGAAGUCGGAGAAUGACGAGGCGAGAAAAGUUCUGGUGUAUGCUAAGGUGCCCGUACCGCAAACCGACACAGGUAGAUGAGGAGAGAAUCCUAAGGCCAACGGGAGAAGGGUUGUUAAGGAACUCGGCAAGAUGACCCCGUAACUUCGGAAGAAGGGGAGCCUCGAAAGAGGCCGCAGUGAAUAGGCCCAAGCAACUGUUUACCAAAAACACAGGUUUAUGCUAAAUCGAAAGAUGACGUAUAUGAGCUGACGCCUGCCCGGUGCCGGAAGGUUAAGAGGAGAUGUCAACCGCGAGGUGAAGCAUUGAAUUGAAGCCCCGGUAAACGGCGGCCGUAACUAUAACGGUCCUAAGGUAGCGAAAUUCCUUGUCAGGUAAGUUCUGACCCGCACGAACUAUUCUCAGCAUUUUUGCCGCCAAUGCACAACAAAGCUUUCCCCAGGGCAUUUUGAGUUUUCUCUUUUUUUCGAUCCAUUUAUUGAGAGGCUUUGAUCUUAGGAAUCCUUUUGCUGCCAAAUUCAAAACUACUCCCGCACCCUCUAUCAGAAGAGAACGGGCAACUCGAUCGCCUCGACGAGUUAUGCCGCCUUUUUUUUCGUUGUGCCCUGUAGCCUUACUUUUUGGUACUAGGCCGUAGUAAGCAACAAUUGAUUUGGGCUUCUCAAACCUUUGGAUAUCUCCUAUAGUUGCUUUUAACCGAGUGGCGGUUAUCGGCCCUAUCCCCGGGACUGACAUAAUUUUUUGGCAAAUCUCGUCAUUAUCGGCAUACUCUUUUAGAUACUUACUGAUCUUAUUCAGACGUUUUUGAAGUUCUCUACAGCUUUGGAGCAACUCAAGUAACCAAUCCUUAACUUCUUGCGGUAUUUUUUUCGAUUCACUAACCAGUUCUUCGACUUUGUUUUUAUUCAUUACGCCUUUAGAAAUAGGGAGUCCCCAUCGUUGACAGAUGCCUUUCAGUGAAACGAAUGAUUGAAUGUAUUCUUUACGGAACUGUUCGCGAACAGCUUGUAUGGAAGAAAGGACGGAGUUAGAGGUAUUUUUGGGUGUUAUCUCCGGAAGAUUUGUAUCUAAUGAAAGAAACGC
rnacentral:rRNA from 1 species